CCUUCCAACCAUGCCACUCUCUAUGCAUUGGAAGGCAAAUAACAUAGAAUUAUAGAUUUGUAUUCUAUGAUUCUAUUAUAUUUGCCUUCCAGUGCAUGGGAGAGUGGCAUGGUUGAGCAAGA